AUGAAAUCUCUGCUGCUUUUCCUUUCCCUGUUCUCUGCCCCCUCCUGUGUCCUCUCCCAGGUGCAGCUGGUCCAGUCCGGCCCGGGGGCGGUGAAGCCGGGAGCGACCCUCAGCAUCACCUGUAAAGUCUCUGGAGUCUCUGUCAGUGAUCACUAUUGGAGCUGGAACCGGCAGCCCCCAGGGAAAGGGCUGGAGUGGCUGGGGGUUAUCCGCAGCACUGCACGGGGAGGGAGCACAGAGUAUAACUCGGCUCUCAAGCCUCGGGUCACCAUCACCAGGGACACCUCUAAAAACCAAGUUUAUCUCCAGCUCCGCUCACUGACAGCUGCAGACACCGGCACCUAUUACUGCGCCAAACACAGUGACAGUGCAGAGCCGGGACUGGCACAAAAAGCAGAAGCGGAUUUUAUAGCCAGCCGACGUGAACAGCCAAUCCGUGCUCUAGGGGAAGAAACAGACAAGGCAUUGCUGACAGUGGGGUCUCAGGAGCCAACCCCAUUUCUCUCCCUAUAUCCCAGCCCCUCCUACCAAGGGAUGUUAAACACUCUGCUUCCUUGUGCUGCGCACCGAAAUGUGCAGCCAGGGACUCACUGA